UUUUUUUUUGUUGUUUUUUUUUUUUUUUUUUUUUUUUUUUUUUUUUUUUUCCAUUACAUCAGGUAUAUUGCCCUGUAAAUUGUGGUAGUGGUACCAGGAAUAAAAAACAAUUAAGGAAUUUUUAACUUUUCAAUAUUUGUGUAGUUCAGUUUUUCCACAUUAAGUUCAGACUUUAACAAAAAUAAAGAAAUGUAGUUAGGGUGUUUCUUGUUACUGGAGAAGAUUGAUGCAUUUCUCAAUUACCAUUUUGUGUUAACUUUAACUGUAGAAACACCUGCUGAUUUGUAGUCUUAAGAGGUAUAGUCUCAAUACAUAUAUGUAACUCCCCAUUGACAUGAGUUAUAUAUAUGCAAAUAGAGAGAACAUAUGUUGCAUUAUAGUUUUGUAUUAUUAGGAUUGAGUUAUUUAAAGUAGUGUUUGUGAAUGAUAGAAUUAAGCUUACUUUCAAAUGAAAAUUUCAAAUUACUUUUUGGCUUGUGCAUAUUUUUUAAUUUGUAGUUCUGUAUUACUUAGUGCUGGCUCUGCAAGAAAAUAAGGCAUGGUAAAUAUUUUAACAAGACUCUUUAGCUACAUUAAAACUGCCUCCAGUCUCAUUUUGAGAUAUGUAGGAGACACCUGCAGUCUCUUGUUCAAGUUCUGGGUGAAAAGGAGAUGGACUUGCGUUUACCUUUUUUCAAAUUCUUGUAAAGCUCAAAAGGGUGAAACUCAAGUGCCUAUUACCUUAGGGUAUGAAGUUAGAUAUUUUUUGGAUGAAAUUGUGCUUUGAAGAGAGCAGCCAUGAUGUCUUUCUCUUGAACUAACUAUUUCAUUUGAAUGUGCUGUUGUAGUGAGAGAAUAGGUAUAUGUUGUAAAACAAUUUAAUGGCUAUAUGCUUCCUUGUACACACCCUAGGCAUUUUUUCUGGACACAUCCUUCUGACUUGGAACAAAGAGUAGCACAGGUAUAAUCCCUGACAGUCUCAGGUAAUUCAUUAAAAAGCCUCAUGAUGAUGGGCAAACUGUCAUAGUUCAAGUAUUUUACUUCUGAAGAUAUGGGUUCAAGUAAGGGAUUUAGAGUUUUUUAAAAAUAAACUUGGUCAUAUUUUAGUGGCAGGAAGUCUUUUUAGUUCCAUUGUUUGGGUUAGAUUUGAUACCAGUGUCAGUUUGCUUAAGAGACGCCCAUAAUCAAUUCAGAUAUGAUACACUGGAUGAUGGUGUAUCAAAGUGGAAUACAAGCAGAGUAACUGGGUAGGUGACAGUAAUGCUGAAAUGGAUCUGGGGGUUAUAGUGGAUCACAAAUGAGUCAAUAAUGAUGCAUUUGCAAAAAGGGCUAAUAUUCUGGGGUGUAUUAACAGGCGUGUCUCCAUGUAGGACAUUGGGGCGGGGAGAUGGUGUUAAUUGUCCCUCUUUGCUUGGCACUGGUAAGCUUCAGCUAGAGCAUUUUGUCUAGCUCUGGGUACCCCACUUCAAGAAAGAUGUGAAUAAAUUGGAGAGUUAAGAGGAGAGCAACAAAUAAAAGGCUUAGAAAACCUGACAUCAGGAAAGGCUAAAAAAACUGGGCAUGUUUAGUCUUGGGAAAAGAACAUGGAGGGGGGGACCUAAUAAGUCUUCAGCAAUGUUAAGGGUUUUUACAAAAAGGAUGGUAAUCAAUUGUUUUAAAUACCUACUGAAGGUAGGACAAGCGGUAAUGGGCUUAAUCUGCAGCAAGGGAGAUUUAGGUUCGAUAUUAGGAAAUCCUGUUUAACAAUAGUUGAGUUCUGGAAUAGGUUUCCAAAAGAGGCUCUGGAAAAUCCUUUUAAGAAAGAGGUUGGUCAAAAACCUAUCAAGGUUUACUUGGUCCUACCUCAGCACAGGGGGAUGAAGUUGAUGACCCCUUUCCUCUCAACUUGAUUUGAUUUUUCUCUCAACUCUUGCCAGAGCAGUGCUUUCUGUCAUACAGGCCCAGAAGAGUAGGGAUACAGUCAGUAGAAGAAAAACCCCAGACAUUUGACAGUAUGUGAUGCUCAAAUUGCUCUCACCUGUUUCACCUCUGAGUCAAUGUGCAGUAUAAGGUAAAUGCAAUUCCAGCAGAGGAAUCCAUCUUCAAAGAUGUUAUGAAAUGGCUUAAGUUACGAACAGUCAAACUACAAUAAGUUACUAUUUAAGAGGCUGUAGAAGAAAUAAAAAUCAAUAAAAUCAUUAAGCAGUGUUGCAAAACAUUGUUAUGGGAGUGUCUUCAAAUUUCAGAAUACUAAAGAAACAAGGAACACUGUCAAGGUUGGUAGGCACUAAACUGGAUUUUUUUUCUCAUCUGCUCAGGUUUUUCUUGUGGGAAUGUUCUAAAAUGAUUUUUUUAUCUCUAGUUUUAAAAAACCCCAAUAGUCCAGUAUCUGCAUGAAUCCAGACUAUAGUAGAAUGGCAUGCAUUGAGAUGGGAGUUGAAAAAGUAGCACUUAAAUGAGAUACUUAAAUUGAGCUCCUUGGAGGUGUAGAGAACGGCCAAACUUUAAAAGGUACAUCAAAUCUGGCAUCUGAUCUGGAUACUUGCAAAAUUGUGGAUGAGUUCUGCAGUCACACAACAUUUAGAUCACUCCUUGACUUGCAUGUGCAAAUGCUUGCUAACAAGGAGUUGGGUAAACCUGGAUCUGCAUCUGAUUGUAGGGAAAGAAUUAGGAUGGGUUGAGGUAAAGUCUUGACAGUGUUCUUUUUAACAAGGCCUCUGUAGCUGCCCUGUAACACUUAUAUUAGUUUCAAGACUUGUUUGCAACUUGAAACAGUUGAAGUCUGCAAGUGACUUGUUCCUGAGUGGGUGGGGUAGCUUAGUUGUGGUAUGCAAUAUGGAAAAGUGUAAGCUGUGAGACAGUGAUUAACCAGCUUUAAGAACCUAGGAUGUACUUCUUAGCAAAGUAUGGAUCAAAGGACUCAUAAGACAGGACUUCAGCAGCCUAUUGAGUAUGGACAAGUCAGCAUAAUUAAAGAAUGACAAGGCAGCAGCAGCAACUGCAGCUUCAACUUCCAGAGAAGUGAAGGCAUAAGAUACUGUGCUGAUAGUGAGCAGCUUUCCAAAGGCUAGUUAAAUCUGCUGAAAUAUCGAAGAAAGUCUAGCAAGAGUUCUUCACCUUUUGGAACCUCCUUGAGUGAUAGCCACUUGAGUUGACACAAAAUCAAUAGGUCUAGCAUUUAGACCUGAAAGGAAGGGCAAUGAGAUAGGUAAGGUUUGCCUUUAAAAAUUUUUCAUGAAUUAGAAUAGUAGUGGUUUUUUAAACAAGGUAAGAGUAAUUUAUUUACAUUGCAGGUUGAAUGAGAAGCUGCAACUUGACAAAAUGAGAAAUGUCUUGCAUAUCUCUUCAGUUCAAAGGUUUCUGACUAGGUAAGACUUGUCCUGUACAACAAGCAUCUGAUCAUGACCCUUUAACUCACUCCCUUCUAGAUUUUUUUUUUCCCCCCUCUCCUUUUUAUUAACUUGUAUUGAGCUUUUUCCUAGAUAGGAGAAAAGUGCAUUAGCAAAUCACAGCAUUUGCUGCUCAGAAUUAGAUAUUUUUUGUGGGUGUGAAAGCAGUUCUAUAUAAUUCAUUUCUCAACUGUUUGUAUCUUGCAAUAAUAUGUGGAUCCGUGAUUGAGCAGUGGACUAUAGUCUCCCCACUGUUAAGAGAGCUUCUAAACAACCUUUUGACCACCAUUCAAAAUAGUCUUUAACAUGGUGACUGUAGAGUAUUGCAGAUGAAAGCAUUCCUCCUAUUAACGAGAACAAUGAUCUAUUCCUUUGCAAAAGUCUAGGCUCUCUAAUGGCAUUAGUAAUUGGCAAAGGAAAUGACACAUCAGGAUAUGUAGGUCCAGUCUAAUUUUUCUUGUCCUGGCAGUUUUUCCUUAGAAUGUCCUAUAACAAAUAGGGAUCACUUAAAGUGGAUUUUAGCUCAAAACAAUGCUUUAAUUUAUGUGGAGACAGAACAAUAACUUGUUCUAUUUUGCACACAAGUCCUUGACUGUCUUGGAUGUUUGCUGUUUUUCUGUGUUCCUCUCUCUAGGCCUGAAGUUGUCAUGCUGGGGAUUAUUUCCAUUGUAGCCCUUUUUUACACUGGAGUCUAGUACCUGUUUUAAAUAAAACCUCAGUCAGAUAAAAUAAGAACUAGUAGAUAUUUUACUUGGAACUAUUAUUGUUCACUGAAAGUAGUCUUCAAGUACAACUCAGCCAGUAUUGUCUGCUUAAAUUGCACUAAAAUGAAAAAUUCAAAUGAACAUAUUUCACUUAAACAGUUUCAGCUGUUAAGUGUUAAUAUAUGGAUUUUGAUUAAUGCUAGAAUCCCACCAGUUGAGUCCUGUCAACACCUAAAAAUCCAGCCUUUGAAAACUGGUGUGAAUCAUUCUUAAUUUUUUUUAGUUUUCAUUGUCUCAUUUGAUAAGUCUGAUUAGAGAUUUUUCUACAGAGUUAUUUUAGAUGGCAUGUUUAUAAACACCAUGAAAAUCUCACUUAGUGCAUUUUUACAAAUUAAAUGAAUGACAGUUAUUUCCCCCCACUCUAGGUUGAGCCAAGGUUGAAAAGGUAGUUUUGUACUAAGGCAGAAGGUUCUCAAUAUCAUUCAUAGUUAGAGUACUAGAUACCCUUGUUGCAUUUGGUGACUAUCAUGCUUUCUUAGCCGGAGAUUGAAAAUUGCUUGUGCCUGCCUGCUGUAACCUUCCCAACCCUGGCUAAGAGGAACCUCUUCUGAAUGCACAUCAUCAACAAAGAGUCACUUUCUAGAUUAGAUCAUUGAUUGUGUUUGUUUGUUUGUUUUUUUUGCUGCAGCCUGCCUAUAGCAUCUUCAAGUGCUAAGAACAUAUGGGGUAUCUAGGUAUACAGUUCCUGGAAAGUAUUUAGUUUGAUAUAUUGGUGAUUCUUACAAUGACUCCAGAAAAUAGCUACAAAACAUCAGUCUUUUCUGUAGAUUUGUGUACUUUGGAGAUUUUCUUAACAUUUUAAGUGUAAAGCUUGGCUAUCCAAGCUUCUGAAAUUAGCUUCCCAAUAUGCAUAUGUAAAAUAUUGAACUAAUUUACUUCUGCUUACUUCUUCCAAUUGCUUAUGUUUUAGUUUCAUCAGACAAGGAGAUGAACGAUUUACUUUAAAGAAAAGUUGGACAGAUGGUAUAGCAGAAUAUCUGAAUUUCCAGGUUGACUCCUGUACUGCUAAGAUAACUUUUUCCUGAACUCAGUGGUGCAAGUCUAUCCAUCAUAGAAGAAAAGUGACCCUUCCAUAGAGGAUAAUGUCACAAGAUUUGAAAACAGAAAUUAAACCUAUAAUUAAGAUGUCAGAUAAAGCCUUAAAGGAUAAUGUAGUGAAACUGUACAGCUUGCAUUCAAACAAGUUUUAGAAAAGAACAUCCAUAAAUGUUAACUAUGUGUAUCAAAGUAUUGUCGAUAAUGCAUUUAUAUGUAUUAAAAUAUUUCUAAUUGUC